AUUGAACGCUGGCGGCAUGCCUUACACAUGCAAGUCGAACGGCAGCACGGGAGCAAUCCUGGUGGCGAGUGGCGAACGGGUGAGUAAUGUAUCGGAACGUACCUUUCAGUGGGGGAUAACGUAGCGAAAGUUACGCUAAUACCGCAUAUUCUGUGAGCAGGAAAGCAGGGGAUCGCAAGACCUUGCGCUGAUUGAGCGGCCGAUAUCAGAUUAGCUAGUUGGUGAGGUAAAGGCUCACCAAGGCGACGAUCUGUAGCGGGUCUGAGAGGAUGAUCCGCCACACUGGAACUGAGACACGGUCCAGACUCCUACGGGAGGCAGCAGUAGGGAAUAUUGGACAAUGGGCGGAAGCCUGAUCCAGCCAUCCCGCGUGUAGGAAUAAGGCCCUAUGGGUUGUAAACUACUUUUAUUAGGGAAGAAAACUUUGAUUUAUCAGAGCUUGACGGUACCUAAGGAAUAAGCACCGGCUAACUCCGUGCCAGCA
rnacentral:rRNA from 1 species